rnacentral:lncRNA from 1 species
GAUUAUCUAAGGCUAGAAACCGAGCCGAGGUCGAUUCAAGUUUCGCUUUCGAGGUUCCGUCUGAAUCGAGUUCCGACCGUAGCUGUAACUUUGUCUCUGUCCAUGUAAUUGUUGGAUUAUUGUUUGUUAAUCGAAGGCAAUUUCAGGUUUCAUUCUUUUCCUCUCUUAUUUUACUAUUAUCGAUGUUAAUCUUAGUAUAAUGAAAGUCGUUUAAAAUUUGGAAAAUAAAAAUUCAAUUAGUGUUGAAGUUUAGUAAUUCUCUUGCUCCUUGUUUGCUUAAAGUAUUCGUGCAUAAUAAUUGGAGUUUGAGACUUUCUAUGUGUGACGUGACUUUAGCAUGAACAUUCGUUAUUGUAGUAUCUGGCUAUCUACAGGCAUAUUUUGCUUUCCAUCUUGUUAGAAUCACUUGGUCUUCUCUUACUAGAGUGAAAUUGAAAUGAUGGAGGUAUUUUGAUAUUAAAUUAAUGGAAUUAUCUAUCUCUAUUUCAAAUUGUGAUAUUUGGGUAAUUUAAGUGAUAGAACAGAUUUUCAACAUAUGUUUUGCUAAUUUUUAUUUCCUUUCUUUUUCUGGAACUUAGCUUGUGAUAAAACUCUGUUUUUAAACUCUUCUUUUCUUACCUACUCACUUGAAUCCUCACAAAAAUUAUUUUUCUUUUCUUAUUUUGAUCAUGAUAAUUUAAUGUUGAAUUAGUAAAAUUUUGGCAGUGUGUUAAUAAAAUAAAAAUAUACAUGUCUUAGGCCUAAUGUUUGCAAGCUCGAGUUACUAUUCACUCUUUCGAUUUCAUCUUUAUUUAAUGGAUUUGAUUUGUUAACUUUCUUCUUCCUAGUUAAGAGCUCCUACCAAUUUAUCAUAUGAAGUUCAAUUUUAAUUCGGACGGCAGCGCUUUAGUGAGCUUGAAUGAUUUUGAUGGGGAAGUAACAGUACGUAAUUGAUUUAAGAAGAGAACAUAAUUUCUUAAGUUAAGAGUUGGUGUGAGUUAGAAAAUCUAAAAUGAUAAAGAAACUAGCAAAAAUGAAUAGGCUUAGAUAUCUAUUAACAUUUUCUUUAAUAGCUUGGUUUAGUCAUCAUUAUUUAUGUUUUGUUUAGUAUUUUUUUUUUUUUAUAGUUUUGUUUAUUUGCCUAUUUAAAUCCUUUGAAUAGUUGCAGUGCUUGUUUGAUAGAAUGUUUAUUUCUAUUUCUUUGUUCGUUCCGUUUGAUCACAGUUUAUGUUUUCUUUUUGUGUGAAACGGGCUGUGGGGGUUGGAUAUUAAGAAUGAAAAGCUGAGUUUAUCAUGUUAAUUGUUUUACUUUAUUAUUUCAAUGAUAGGAGCAUGCUGGGCCGUCAAUUCUUGGGUAGGCAACUUUAGGUUCUUUUCUUUUAUUUUGUUCGAGGUGAGAGGUCGUCUCAUUUAGUUUAUUAUUUUUAUCCGGGCAUGGAUGGAUCCAGCGUAUUGGGUAUGUGUUCAACUGAACACAUAACUUUCGACAAAAACCGAGCAUAUAUUGUAUUAGAGUACUAUGAACCCAUAAACUAAAAGAGGCUAUAUGUUCAUUGGUGGGAAACAUCAUCUUACUUCCGUUCCUUACUUGGAAACCCGAGUUCUAUUCCCCACUUUCACUCUAUUUUGUAUUAGAGUUGUAGGAACCUUUUGUCCUUUUCUUAGUUUGUAACACAUCAUGGGAUCCUUUUGUUCCUUUUCAUUAAAGAGUGCUCUUUUCAUGUUCCCUAACAGUUAUUGACCCAUUUAAUCAUUUAAAUACUUUUUACUGUACUUCAUUGACAUAAUGGACUUUUAUACUCUUUUCAAAAACAUAAAAAAUCAAAGGGAGUCUUAUUCUUCUCGGGCACACAACAGAUUAAGAAAUUGAAGCUUCUUCAACCCCAAGCUUCUCAAGUUAGGGUUUCAAAAAUCAAAGGCCUACAAUAAAUCUUCUUCUUGAUUUUGCUGGUACAAAUCUAUGGCUCUAUGGUUAUGAUUCUCUAUUAUGAU